AUAUAUACAAACACAAACCGGACAUGGUGGUAAGAAAUGUUAUAGAUGAAAU
rnacentral:guide_RNA from 1 species